rnacentral:rRNA from 1 species
UACAGAGGGUGCGAGCGUUGUUCGGAAUUAUUGGGCGUAAAGGGCGCGUAGGCGGUGCGGUAAGUCACCUGUGAAAUCUCCUGGCUCAACUGGGAGCUUGCAGGCGAAACUGCCGUGCUGGAGUGUGGGAGAGGUGCGUGGAAUUCCCGGUGUAGCGGUGAAAUGCGUAGAUAUGUGGAGGAAUACCGAUGGCGAAGGCAGCCCCCUGGGCCAAUACUGACGCUCAUGCACGAAAGCGUGGCAGCAAACAGG